UGGGGAAUAUUGCACAAUGGGCGAAAGCCUGAUGCAGCAACGCCGCGUGAGUGAUGAAGGUCUUCGGAUUGUAAAGCUCUGUCUUUUGGGACGAUAACGACGGUACCAAAGGAGGAAGCCACGGCUAACUACGUGCCAGCAGCCGCGGUAAUACGUAGGUGGCGAGCGUUGUCCGGAUUUACUGGGCGUAAAGGGUGCGUAGGCGGAUGUUUAAGUGAGAUGUGAAAUACCCGGGCUUAACUUGGGUGCUGCAUUUCAAACUGGAUAUCUAGAGUGCAGGAGAGGAGAAUGGAAUUCCUAGUGUAGCGGUGAAAUGCGUAGAGAUUAGGAAGAACACCAGUGGCGAAGGCGAUUCUCUGGACUGUAACUGACGCUGAGGCACGAAAGGCGUGGGUAGCAAACAGGAUUAGAUACCCUGGUAGUCCACGCCGUAAACGAUGAGUACUAGGUGUAGGAGGUAUCGACCCCUUCUGUGCCGCAGUAAACACAUUAAGUACUCCGCCUGGGAAGUACGAUCGCAAGAUUAAAAC
rnacentral:rRNA from 1 species